GACUGAUGUGGACUCCUAGAGGAAUGAGCAGAGGACUUACUGCCCUCCAGUGGUCACUCUGAGUCACUACGUUACACUGAGAUGUGGCCAACAGGACUCUCACUUCUUAUUAGGUUGACUUUUUUUAAUCAAAUUUAUUUGAAUUUGCAAAUCUUACAAAAGUAUAAAAACAAUUGUAACAGAACAAUGCGUACAGGAGCUGCCUGCUAAGGGGGGGGGACCAUAUAAAAACUUCAAAAAUAACACAAGCUGAUACAGUUUUACUUGCCUUUUGCUUCAGAGAGCCCUGAAUUCAUGAGAUGUGAAUAUGAAAUUUGGCCAUAAUAAUAAUAAUGAGAUUAUUCAAAAUCAGAAAACAUUCCUUAAAAGCAAAACUUAGAUAUUUUCUGAAGGCACAUAUUUUAUUCCAGGCCUUUUUUCGCAAUAGGACAGUGCCAGAACAGAUGUGUAACAGUUUCUGGACAUCCACCACAGAAACUACAAUUCAGUUCAAUAUCUGUCCUAAAUCUGUACUUAAUGUAUUUUUUAGCUGGAUAGAAUUUAUGUAUUAAUUGGUGAUUAGGUAGAAGCCGCAUUUCUUCCGUACUAUAUCAUCCACAAUCUGUUUACUUCUUAUUAUGUACUAAUCAGUAUUGAUGACAAAGGACUACAUUCACUAUGGAUCAAUCUGCUGAUUCUUUUCUCCUUUAAUCAUUUAAAGUUCUGAAAAUAGUCCAACAAACAGUCCAAACCUCCAAAAUGACAUUAAAAUCUUCACGUCAACUCAGCUGUACUUGUAUAAACUGCAUUUUAUAAGCGUCUCGUAUAAAAUGUGACUUUAAGGGCAAAAACUCAAUGGUGUAAAAGAAAAGAAGCCUGUGGUGGAAAUGUUGAUUAUACAGUCAGCAGGGAAAAGACAACAAACGCUUCCAAACGUCUAACGAUAUCAUCUUGAAGCGGUGUCGGGUAACAUCGUAGUAAUGCAGGCAUUUAGAGGGAGAAACUCUGCGUCAGAUAGUCUUAUCACAGACGAUAACACAACAUGUUUGACUGAAGCAGCUCGUGUGUCAAUGCAGACACAAACCUCCACGCAAGUUUUCUAUAAAUCAAAGGUUCCUCCCUUUCACCAAAAAUAAAUAUUAGGUAUUAUAAUAAUUAGCCUGUUGUCAAUUCUCUAUUUAUACUGAAAAUCCAGAUCAAGAGAGCUUUUUUAUUAACUGUCGCAGUACUUUUCUCUUUCUCUUUAUUCCCCUUUGUUCAUUGUAUCUUCCAAACAUAUUCAGAUAAAUAUGAUCUAAUAGAUUCAUCGAGUUUCGGGCAGUCUUUUGUGUUCAUUGUGAUGACGUUGAAGAUACGAUUUAUCGCUACAAUCCGUCGUCUUCCUGCAACAACUCGCCUCUCUGAGAUUUCAGAGCGAGAUUCAGUUUCCUGUUAAAAACAAAGGGGGUCACUGGGAGUCCCUGGUAGGGAUCCUUUCCUUGAUGUUGUAUAACAGUCUGAUGCAGGAGCCUAGAAGAACAAGACCAGGAGGGAGGCCGCCGGCCUUCAGCACUUACUACGCUGUGAUGGACCAGAAGCUCGUCCUCCGCCACGUCAUUGAUGGACUCCGCAAAGUGCACUUUGUUUUCACUGUAAGCUCUGACGGCCACGCGCACACGUUCCUCCAGACAACCGUCCAGAGACGAAGAGAAGGUGAAGGAAGUGAGAGCCGAGACCUUAAACCGUGUCUCACAUGUGCAGAUACUUCAGCACCUCAAGUCCUUUCAUGGCUCGUAUCCUGGUUAAACCUCAUGAACAACCGGAUUAAUGCUCAUUUGGUGCUCUGGGCGAGCUUCCCCUGGCGGCGCACCACAUCUUUAUUUAUUACAAACCAGAAAUGUAAUAAUCAACAAUAUAUAAUAGAAUCAAAAUAAAAUACACAAAAUAAAUAAAACUACAAAUUCAAGAACAAACAAUAAAUAAAAUAAAAGUAGUAAAACAUAUUCAGUUUCUUUUUUUAUGAGUGAAAAACAUCCGCCACAAAAUACCCAAUGUAUUUUUCUACACCUUGAAACCAGUUGUACCACAAAUUCUGUACUUGAUUAAAAGUACAAAUAAAUAAAUAUUGCUAAAUAUUAAUACAUUUAAUCAAGUUAAAUUUGUACUUGGGUUGAAGUACUUAAUACUUAAGUAUUAAAAGUAAAAAGUACUAUGGUUGUGUUUUACAUGACAGAUUUAAUAAAAGAUCAUUAGAAUAACUGAAAAUAAAAUUCAGUCAGCUAAUCUUUCAGCUCUACCUGUAUAAACUGUUGGGUAGUUUAAUUUAUAACAAAACAUUUGAUUAAGUCUGCAAAAAUCUUAAUUUGUAAAGUAAUUUAAGCUGUCAGAUGAAUUUAGUACAAAUUCAAAUGUAUUGGAGUAGAAAAGAAAAUACUGAAGUAAAUUACAAAUACCUCUAAUUUGUACUUCAGUACAGUACUUGUAUUGAGUACAACAAGUGCUGAAAACAUGUGUGGAAGGGACCUUUGAUACUUUAAUAAUCUGGUUUGUGUAUUCUGUGACACACAGCAGUAAAUAAAGCUUCAGUUCUUUGUGUUCACCACUAGUAACACAUCUCUAGUCCAGUAAUGCUGCAGGACUCACCUCAGCACUACUGAGCCAGGUAAGGCCUCCACCAGAGACCGUGUCUUUAUUUAAAACUCACAUGAAUGUAACAUGGUUGGAAGAAACAGGUUUUCGUAUUUAAGCAGGGUUAAGGUUCAACUUCUUUUGAGCCUUUCUACAUUUACUGAGGUGCUGCUGAAGUUCUGACGGUGGCAACGUCUCCUCUCCUAAACAAACCGUCAGCAUUCUGCCUGUGAGAUGUGAAGGCCGAUCAGCAGUCAGACGCUCCGGUCGACAGCGGCUUCAGCAGCCAGCCAAUGGAGGAAGAGUUUGCACACACAUUCAAGACCGAGUACAAAUGCGUUCGAGUCCGAGACGAGACCGUCAAAAAGAAACGGACUCGAGUACUGCAACACUACAAAGCUGAACUAAAGUGGACUGACGCAUCACUUCUGUGUGUGCUGUUUGUCAGACUAAUGUUGAAUUUGAUUGUGAAUGUUACAGAUCUAAAAACGGUACAUUUUAAAACUACUGACUUUAGGAUUCUUCCCCUUAGCAAUGACAGGGCUUGUACUAGUUAUGGAGAAUCCGUUUAAGUACCUAUUUAUUACUAGGUUUUCUUAUUUAACACAUAAAUAUGCAUAUGUUGUUUUAUAUGUGACUUUUGUACCAAAGUAGAAUAUCAGCUACCAAAGACCCGUCUCUAUAUAUUCAGUUACACUCCUUUGUACGUUUCACGUUGCAGAAUUGAACAAAUAACAAUUAAAACAAGACAUUGUCUUUUAAUAUUUAUUAGGGAUUUAUUACGUCUGGCCAGUCCACAUGUGAACAGAGAGUCAAAACAUUCACACACUCUUAAUGUAAAUGUUCAGUUCUCAGCUGAUGUAUUUUGAAAGCUGAUGUUUAAAGGAAAGCGUGAAAAGCACCAAAAAACAGUUUGUCUAUGUGCUCCUAAAGCUCAAGCUGGUAGGACUUCCUGGAGGAUCAGAGGUUGUGUGUUUAAUCCUCAUCUAGCUCCCAAAAGAAAAAGUCAAGAGCUCAAAGACAGAAAGCAAAAGCGUGAGUUAGGGGUCUGCUUUGAAGGCCUGAGGUUGGGAGUUCGAUCCCUAUCGAAGGCAAAGUGAAUUUUGAAGCGCAACUUCCAAAGUGAAGAAAUAAAAGCACCCGGAGAAAAGGAACAAUCGUGAAGGGUAUUUGGUGGCGAGGUGAGAUUGUCUGUGCCUGUGGUGCAGCGUCUCCGGGUUCAAGUCCCAUCCGUUGCCGGUACCUGGAUCACCAGAGACAUUCCUGAAGUAACAGGGUCGGGGGGGGGGGCCUGUGUCUCCCCCCGGCAUUUCUGAGAGAUAUACGCAGGGGGUUAUGGUAC